UGCUCAGCCUCAGCCGGCAUAGUUUGUAAAGAAUACGUCAACAAAACAGAAGUUCAACAAAAAUAGAAUAUUCUGAGCAUUUCAGGCGCCAAUUCCAAAAACAAAAAAAUAAUAUUAAAGAAAUUAGCAAAGCACAUGGUCGGUCUUUAGCAGCUGGUGGGCACGAGAAUUACCCCAUCUACAUACUUGAAACCAUUUGGACGCAGAGCGAAGCAGGCGAAAGAUGUGCGCAGUGUGCAAAGCAUUUAAAUUUAAUAGCAGAAAGCAGUGGCGAAUUUCUUAACGAGGCCGAACAACCGAAAACACAUAACUUCAUUACUUAAAAGUAACAUCUUAAAAAACUCCCAAAUAUAUGGCAAUGAUGAUAGCAAUGACCGCCAGCACAGUAGAAAUUAGUACAUUAUUUAGCAGCUGAAAAGUAGAAAGCAACCGGUUUAGUAGUUUUAAGUGGUAUUAAAUUUAAUUAUACCAUAAUCACUCACCUUAUCUUGCCACUUGCGAUUAGCUAUGCACUUGCUGUACGGCAUGCUGGAGAAGGAAACACUAUUAUAUAAUGGCACCCAAGCGCUUGGAAACCAACGGAAUAGUAACGUGUCAAGCCAUUUACGACAGCGAAAACUUGCCCGUUUGUACAUAUAUUUACCUCAACAUAAUUAUACAUCGCCAAGUCGCAAAUGGCAUGCGCAUCACGCCAACGCAACUCAGUAAAUUGCUGCAAUACUUCAGCGGUACUUAAACUUGUUUGAUUAAAUAGCGACAUUAGCUGCGUACAAUCUUCCAUGCCUGCAUUUAAGCCUUGCCCAUAGUAGGGUACCAUAGCGUGUGCAGCAUCACCUAGAACUAGCGCCUUCGAGCCGUAGUGGUAUGGAUAGCACUGGAAGUU